AAUAUCGAGUGUUCUUUCAAGGAUGCUAAUGUUGGUGAUUCACAAUUACCUUCUUAACCUAUGCUACAUUGAAGAUAAAUAAAUAAAAAAACUUCUUGACGUGUGAGUGAAACUAUAUGUGAUUGUUGAUAAACUAUUGUAUACUUGUAUAAUGUAACUUUAAUCAACACAAAGAUUUAAACUAGUCUAAUGAUGUGGUAGUUUAUUGAUAUGGUAU